rnacentral:rRNA from 1 species
AACGAACGCUGGCGGCAUGCCUAACACAUGCAAGUCGAACGAGACCUUCGGGUCUAGUGGCGCCCGGGGGCGUAACGCGUGGGAACCUGCCCUUAGGUUCGGAAUAACUCCCCGAAAGGGGUGCUAAUACCGGCUAAUGUCUUCGGACCAAAGAUUUAUCGCCUUUGGAUGGGCCCGCGUUGGAUUAGCUAGUUGGUAGGGUAAAAGCCUACCAAGGCGACGAUCCAUAGCUGGUCUGAGAGGAUGAUCAGCCACACUGGGACUGAGACACGGCCCAGACUCCUACGGGAGGCAGCAGUGGGGAAUAUUGGACAAUGGGCGAAAGCCUGAUCCAGCAAUGCCGCGUGAGUGAUGAAGGCCUUAGGGUUGUAAAGCUCUUUUACCCGGGAUGAUAAUGACAGUACCGGGAGAAUAAGCUCCGGCUAACUCCGUG